CACGUAGUUAGCCGGUGCUUUUUCUGCAGGUACCGUCACUUUCGCUUCUUCCCUACUAAAAGAGGUUUACAACCCGAAGGCCUUCGUCCCUCACGCGGCGUUGCUGCAUCAGGCUUGCGCCCAUUAUGCAAUAUUCCCCACUGCUGCCUCCCGUAGGAGUCUGGGCCGUGUCUCAGUCCCAGUGUGGCCGGUCACCCUCUCAGGCCGGCUACCCGUCGUCGCCUUGGUGAGCCAUUACCUCACCAACAAGCUGAUAGGCCGCGAGUCCAUCUCAAACCGAUAAAUCUUUCCACCCACAGACGAUGCCGCCAUGGGUCAUAUUCGCUAUUAGACGCCGUUUCCAGCGCUUAUCCCGAAGUUUGAGGCAGGUUACUCACGUGUUACUCACCCGUUCGCCACUAAUCCACCCAGCAAGCUGGGCUUCAUCGUUCGACUUGCAUGUGUUAAGCACGCCGCCAGCGUUCGUCCUGUAGCCAGGAGUCAAACUCCUA
rnacentral:rRNA from 1 species